UGGUUCUGGCAUCGAUGAAGAACGCAGCGAAAUGCGAUAAGUAGUGCGAAUUGCAGAAUUCAGCGAGUCAUCGAAUCUUUGAACGCACAUUGCGCCCUUUGGCAUUCCUUAGGGCAUGCCUGUUCGAGCGUCAUCUAAACCUUCAAGCGCAGCUUGGUGUUGGGCGCCUUGUCGCCGCCUCUGGGCGCGCGACUCGCCUCGAAAGCAUUGGCGGCCCGCGCCAUGGGGGAGGGGAUCGAGCGCAGCAGAUCGCGCUUCGGCUCCUCCCGCCGGCGUGGGCGUCCAGCGAGCACACCCGCGAUUUUGACCUCGGAUCAGGUAGGGAUACCCGCUGA
rnacentral:misc_RNA from 1 species